rnacentral:pre_miRNA from 1 species
AGCACAACAACUGGCUUAUGUGAUAAGUGCAUCUUUAGUUUUUAAAGAAACUGCCAAACUCUUUUCUAGAGUAGCUGUACCAUUUUACAUUCCUAUCAUCAAU